rnacentral:rRNA from 1 species
UACGAAGGUCCCGAGCGUUAUUCGGAAUCACUGGGCGUAAAGGGAGCGUAGGCGGCGUGGAAAGUCAGAUGUGAAAUCCCGGGGCUCAACCCCGGAACUGCAUCCGAUACUACCAUGCUAGAGUAUUGGAGGGGUAACUGGAAUUCUCGGUGUAGCAGUGAAAUGCGUGGAUAUCGAGAGGAACACUCGUGGCGAAAGCGAGUUACUGGACAAUGACUGACGCUGAGGCUCGAAGGCUAGGGGAGCAAAAGGG